CGCGCUAUCUGCCCCCAAAAUCCAAACCCCCUGUCUCUCUUCCCCCAAACUCAAAAAAUCCCUAAAAUCGUGCGCUCUCUACCCCCAAAAUCCAAAUCUCUCUCCCUCUCACUCUCUCUCCCCUCUCUCUCGGGCAAUCAAAUGAUCAUUGCCGGAAGCAGAGAACGCCCUAUUUUGACAGCCACAAUGGUACGACUGUUGACGCAUAGUGGUCGACGGAGACGGAGAAGAAGGGGUCGGAGAUGGAAGAUCUGUUUUUGGGGAGGGGUUGCAAUGGAGAUUGCCGGUUUUGAGAUGAAUGAGUAGAGAGAUUUGGGCGUCCGGUAGCGGAAUGGCUUGAUGUUGGUUGGAUUUCAAUUAUCUAAAGAAAGUGUUUUUGUAACAGAGAUGCAAAGAUGGGUUGAUGGUGAUGCAGCAAUGUAGAGAUGGGCUUAGAUGCCAAACCAGAUAUUUAUAUUCUCAAUCUAAUCAAGUGCAUCUUGCAAUUUCAAUAGUUCAUCUUGCAACUUAAUUUCACAGUGUUCUCUAAUAAAAGUUAAGAGAGAUUUACCAGGACAAGGGGCAGACAGAGGAAUCACUGCUAGGGUAAAUUCUCAGCCUAUCACUUGUCCAAUAGUUACAUAGAGGGGGCCCACCUAUCCAAUGGUCCAGAUCGAUCAAGGUGCAACCUUCUUGGUUGAAUCCAAGCACUACCUGUUGUGUGAACGACGUGCCGGAAGGGAUUGUUCACCUUGACAUUGCAACUGUUUCGGUUUGGACUAAUGCAGUUUGUGUGUAAUUCAUGGCAGGAAAGAAGAGGGACGCACAUGAGGGGCUCUUGCCAUUGAUAAGGGAUACCCCUACAAUAUCCAAUGUUGGAUUACCAGUCUUCAAUUUUUAUCUCUUUCACUGUUGAAUUGGGACUUUUCUAUUUCCAAGCCAACCUAUCAAAAGGUUGUGAUUCUCCAAUCUUCUAGAUUCAUUGGCAUCCUCAAUUAGACCAACAGUUUGGAUUACAGAACAAUGGACCUCACAUGUAAGCAAAGACUGCAGAUCAACAAAUGAUAGUUUUUAGAUGAGCACAGCCCUAUAAUUCCUCUAGCAAGCUUAAUCCUAAAACAUUAGAUGUCUUGGAUCUCCUUGCAGGGGAGAAAGCAUAGAGGAUAUGCUUAUGCUAGAGAUCAUGUAAAUAGUUUUUGCUCUACUCAUAUGUUUAUAUUAUCUGGUAUACAUGCAUGCAAAAUAAUUUACCGGAGUAGAAAAUACUAGGAUGUUGACAGAUGUCUGGAUGAUUAUGGGACAUAUUCUUAUAAAUAUCAUAUAAUUUUGCCUGUUUAACUGUUUGGCUUCCGUAUCAGGAUGUGAAAUUUAGUUGUGCUGUGGCUUUUUUGCUUGUAUCAUCAGGAUUUUUAACUACUGCUUCUGUGGAAUACCUUCUGGUAGGUGUGUUCUUCCGCUCAGCUGUUUCUCCUACUGCUAGAUGAACUUGGUUCAUGUUGAUUUUAUUUACCUUGAUUGGGGUAUUGGAUUCUCUUAGAAGCAUACGUGGAGGAUGUAUUUGGAUGGUAUAGGAGAUGCAUUCUGAUGGUAUAUGGCAUUUGUAUUGGGAUGUAUCAAUGAUACUGUACAUAAUGCAUCUGUAUUUUUUUGCAAGAUUAAUUUGUUACAAGCAUUCCCAAUAAGCUUGUUAAGAUCAUCCGUUCAAUGUCAUUAUUAUUAUUUUUUUAAUGUGGUUGAGCAACAGUGGAAGAUAAUAGUAAGGAGCACCGGUGCACCAAAUAGAUAACCUCUUAAUUUGAAAUCUAGCUGAGCUAUGGACAAUGGAGUUAGUUAUAUAGAUUUUGCUUGUGUCCUUGAUUUUCAGAUAUUCAAGUAUAUGUUGGAUGGUGCAAAAGCUUGUAAACAUUUUGAAGCAGAUUGAUCCAAGAGACCCUUGCAGGAUUGAAAUGACUGAUUCACUGUUAGAAAAAUUCAAUCCAUGCAUGUUGGAGUCCUCGAAUGAGCAGCCUAGAUAUACAUUUGAGGGGAUGGCGACAGGCCAGGUUGGCCCAUCACUUUCGCGUUCCAACUCCAUCAGUCGCUGCUUUGAAGAACUUGAGCUCGGCAGACAUUGAUUCUUCCCUGUUUUGUCUUUAGAAGGCCUUCAAAAAAGCCAUGAAAGAAAGCCUUCAAGCUUUUUCCUGAUGGUACUUGCUCUAACAACCCUUUUUUAAUUUUCUUUCUUUAUUCCUUCGAAGUGAUUCAAGCUAAAUUCCAUUAAUGAGCUACAGCCCAAAUAUCCCACAGAUCAGAGCCGGACUGUUAAUUACCAAAAUGGUUUAGGGUCCUGAUUAAAGUCCCUUGAUCCUGUAUUCAUAGUUUCAUCUGAUUGAUAUGAUUUUUGGGAAGUAACCCAUCCCCAAUGCGGCCCAUUUACCUGGUGGUCUGGAUAUUCAACGAUCCAAUCACAUUUACACCAAUGGUUGGAACUGACCCAUUGUUAUAAACCUGGCCCACAUCCACGACACCAUCAGAACUUAAUCCUAAUUAAUGAAAAAUAAACAAAUAAAUGACUGUUCAUGUUAAAAAAAGAAAAAAG